CAAAAAAGCAAACAAAACAAAAAAACAAAAAACAAACAAAAGCAAAUAUAUGAGACAAGAAGCACACGGAGGUCGCAGGUUCUCCUCACAGACACCACCCAACUCCGAGGGGACUCUGCAGAGGUGGACAGUGGUGCCCAGAGCCAGAGGAUGACGUGUGUUGUUGAGCUGAAUAGACGCCCUGCUGCUGACAUACAAAGUCAGGGUCUGAGGCUCCCAGGCAAAGCCAGGACCAGAAGACAGGACGAUUCCAGUCAGAGAGAAAAGAUGUAUUACUGGUCAGACUGGAGAGGGAAGCGGGGUACAUUAUGACUCUCUGUGUCUCGUGGGAGGAGAUAAGAGUCACCGAGGGGCUUAUCUGGAUGAGAGGAAAAUCAAACUCCGCAGCCUGGCUUGAAGGCUCUGUAUGAACCGCUGGCAGGAAAUUACCUUUCACCACGUCUCCUCCUUCCAACUCCUAGCUGACGAAAAUAGUUCCAGACACAUAGAAGCACUGUCGACGCCCGGAAGAGGCUAGCUAGCUUCACACAAUCUGGCCUCGGCAUGUUCUGCCAGCUCGGGGGGAACCACAUCUGUCAGGGAGCCAGUGGGAUGUACACACACCAAGGCUCUGAGAGAGCUUCUCUGACAUCUGACGCAUGUCCACAACCUCACUAUCCUGGAUCCAUAUGCAGAAAACCCAUCAUGAAGACAGAGCCACAAAAUGAUCGACUAUGAGAUUGGAGAAAGAGAUGAGGUGAGGAAACCUAUCCUGGAUAUGGGUGGCACCAUUCCCUAGCUGGGGUCCUAGACUGA